AUUGAACGCUGGCGGCAGGCCUAACACAUGCAAGUCGAGCGGGGUUUUCGGACCUAGCGGCGGACGGGUGAGUAAUGCGUAGGAAGCUACCCGAUAGAGGGGGAUACCAGUUGGAAACGACUGUUAAUACCGCAUAAUGUCUACGGACCAAAGUGUGGGAGCUGCGGGCCACAUGCUAUCGGAUGCGCCUACGUGGGAUUAGCUAGUUGGUGAGGUAAUGGCUCACCAAGGCGACGAUCCCUAGCUGGUUUGAGAGGAUGAUCAGCCACACUGGAACUGAGACACGGUCCAGACUCCUACGGGAGGCAGCAGUGGGGAAUAUUGGACAAUGGGCGCAAGCCUGAUCCAGCCAUGCCGCGUGUGUGAAGAAGGCCUUCGGGUUGUAAAGCACUUUCAGUAGGGAGGAAGCGUUGUGUGUUAAUAGUACACUGCGUUGACGUUACCUACAGAAGAAGCACCGGCUAACUCUGUGCCAGCAGCCGCGGUAAGAC
rnacentral:rRNA from 1 species